rnacentral:rRNA from 1 species
UCUAAGCAUGAAGCCCCCCUCAAGAUGAGAUUUCCCAUUCCGCAAGGAAGUAAGAUCCCUGAAAGAUGAUCAGGUUGAUAGGUCUGAGGUGGAAGUGUGGCGACACAUGGAGCUGACAGAUACUAAUCGAUCGAGGACUUAACCUA